rnacentral:lncRNA from 1 species
CGUAGCUAUACGGCAGAGGAUGGUUCCACCCCUGGAAGGCUGGAGGACUGAUGCACGCUGCAGCAGCGACAGACCCCAAACGUCUUGGGCUGUGGGACGGAAGCCUGACACAAAAGGUCACACGGUCUCUGACCCCAUUUGUGUGCCAUGUCCACGGGAGUUGGUAGAUGAGAAAAAUGGACGGAGCAGGUCUCACCAUGAGAAGGAAGGAGGGACUUACUCCCCAGAUGGCUGGGAGCUGCUCAUAAAGAGGGCCUGGGUUGUCAGCACUGCCCCCCCCACCAUCACAAGGCACCUCACCCACAGUCGUACCCCAUCCCUGGGUGGCCACACCUGAUGCCUGACUGACUAGGAAAGAGGAGGAAGGGGUGGUUUUCAGGCCCCACCCCCUUUGCCCCUGUGGGGCCACCCAGCCUCAGAGUGCAGAACUGUCUGCCCAGAC